GAAUUUAGCUUCAGGUCGGGGAUAACAGUUGGAAACGAUUGCUAAUACCGGAUAUGCCGAAAGGUGAAAGGCUUACUGCCUGAAGAUGAGCUCGCGUCUGAUUAGCUAGUUGGUGGUGUAAGAGACUACCAAGGCGACGAUCAGUAGCUGGUCUGAGAGGAUGAUCAGCCACACUGGGACUGAGACACGGCCCAGACUCCUACGGGAGGCAGCAGUGGGGAAUUUUCCGCAAUGGGCGAAAGCCUGACGGAGCAAUACCGCGUGAGGGAGGAAGGCUCUUGGGUCGUAAACCUCUUUUCUCAAGGAAGAAAAAAAUGACGGUACUUGAGGAAUAAGCAUCGGCUAACUCCGUGCCAGCAGCCGCGGUAAUACGGAGGAUGCAAGCGUUAUCCGGAAUGAUUGGGCGUAAAGGGUCCGCAGGUGGCACUGUAAGUCUGCUGUUAAAGAGUCUAGCUCAACUAGAUAAAAGCGGUGGAAACUACAGAGCUAGAGUGCGUUCGGGGCAGAAGGAAUUCCUGGUGUAGCGGUGAAAUGCGUAGAUAUCAGGAAGAACACCGGUGGCGAAAGCGUUCUGCUAGGCCGCAACUGACACUGAAGGACGAAAGCUAGGGGACCG
rnacentral:rRNA from 1 species